UUUAGAAAGUGAAUAUAUACAUAAAUAUAAAAUUGACACCUAUUUGCAACUUGUAAUUGAAGUACAGUAACAGUAGACAGGAUAGAUCUUCAGUAGCAGAUAGCUAUCAUGUGGUCUGCAAGUGGAAAUAUAUUUGAUCCCAAAUUUGUUGUUGUUUUUGUGUCUAAAACACUUUGACAUAUCCUCCCAUCAAUUGUCUUCUUCACAGUCCUCAGCCUGAGAGCAAGCUACUGGGCAACUUCCAGUGCCCAGGCCAGCUGCGCCUCGUGGACCCUGGGGUCCCCACCAGUGGCUCACCUGCAGCUCAUGGAUCCAUGACCCUUGCUAUCUUUGCUGUGGUUGGGACCAGUGCCACCAAGGAAACAAAAGGAGAGCAUGCCGAUUGUCUGAAAAUACUGAAACUGAUGGAAAGGCUCACUGGUGGCAUACACUAGCCUAGAGAUGUCAUGUUUCAGAUUUUUUCUGGCCAACUGCUGAAGAUGUAAGUAUUCUGUAUAACUUUUAUCCCAAAGCAGCUUUUAGACCAGUGGAUACUUCCCCCACAGUAAGUAGUCUCAUGAGUAA
rnacentral:lncRNA from 1 species